AACGACAAAAAACUUGGGCUACAAAAAAGAAGAAAGGGGAAAAUCAGCCCAUGGCUCAAACUCAAAACUAGGCUUGGCAUAAUAAAAAAGGGAAUAGACCCACGUGAUGUUCUCUGGCUUAGAAAGACUCAACAAUUUUAACUAUCACAAAGAGGUGAUGGGGAAUUAAUUAAAAGCAGGUCAGUGGCAAAAAGACUUCUCUGAAUGUCUGCCAUCAGAAGAUCAAAUCCCUUUUAUAUAUUUGGGAAU
rnacentral:lncRNA from 1 species